GAUGAAGAACGUAGCGAAAUGCGAUAAGUAAUGUGAAUUGCAGAAUUCAGUGAAUCAUCGAAUCUUUGAACGCACAUUGCGCCCGCCAGUAUUCUGGCGGGCAUGUCUGUCCGAGCGUCAUUUCAACCCUCAAGCCCCCGGGCUUGGUGUUGGAGAUCGGCGAGCCCCCCGGGGCGCGCCGUCUCCCAAAUAUAGUGGCGGUCCCGCUGUAGCUUCCUCUGCGUAGUAGCACACCUCGCACUGGGAAACAGCGUGGCCACGCCGUAAAACCCCCCACUUCUGAAAGGUUGACCUCGGAUCAGGUAGGAAUACCCGCUGAACUUAAGCAUAUCAAUAACGGAGGA
rnacentral:misc_RNA from 1 species